rnacentral:rRNA from 1 species
AGAGUUUGAUCCUGGCUCAGGAUGAACGCUAGCGGCAGGCUUAACACAUGCAAGUCGAGGGGUAACAGGGAGCUUGCUCCGCUGACGACCGGCGCACGGGUGCGUAACGCGUAUAGAACCUACCUUUUACAGAGGGAUAGCCUUUAGAAAUGAAGAUUAAUACCUUAUGGUAUUGUAGACUGGCAUCAGUUUAUAAUUAAAGAUUUAUCGGUAAAAGAUGGCUAUGCGUCCUAUUAGCUAGAUGGUAAGGUAACGGCUUACCAUGGCAACGAUAGGUAGGGGCCCUGAGAGGGGGAUCCCCCACACUGGUACUGAGACACGGACCAGACUCCUACGGGAGGCAGCAGUGAGGAAUAUUGGACAAUGGAGGAAACUCUGAUCCAGCCAUGCCGCGUGCAGGAAGACGGCCCUAUGGGUUGUAAACUGCUUUUAUAUAGGAAGAAACCUUUUCACGUGUGAGAAGCUGACGGUACUAUAAGAAUAAGGACCGGCUAACUCCGUGCCAGCAGCCGCGGUAAUACGGAGGGUCCGAGCGUUAUCCGGAAUCAUUGGGUUUAAAGGGUCCGUAGGCGGGAAUCUAAGUCAGUGGUGAAAUCUUACAGCUCAACUGUAAAAUUGCCAUUGAUACUGGGUUUCUUGAAUUAGUGUGAAGUGAUUAGAAUGUGUAGUGUAGCGGUGAAAUGCAUAGAUAUUACACAGAAUACCAAUUGCGAAGGCAGAUCACUAACACUAUAUUGACGCUGAGGGACGAAAGCGUGGGGAGCGAACAGGAUUAGAUACCCUGGUAGUCCACGCCGUAAACGAUGGAUACUAGCUGUUCGAUCUUCGGAUUGAGUGGCUAAGCGAAAGUGAUAAGUAUCCCACCUGGGGAGUACGUUCGCAAGAAUGAAACUCAAAGGAAUUGACGGGGGCCCGCACAAGCGGUGGAGCAUGUGGUUUAAUU